rnacentral:rRNA from 1 species
GAUGGAGCCCGCCGCGUGUGUGAUGAAGGGUUUCGGCUCUUAAAACUCUGUUGUUACAGAAGAAUGACUUUGAAAGUAACUGUUCAAUGUGUGACGGUAUCUUUACAGGAAAGGAACGGCUAACUACCUGCCAGCAGCCGCGUAUAAUA